CAUUAGCUAGUUGGUAGGGUAAAGGCCUACCAAGGCGACGAUGGGUAGCCGGCCUGAGAGGGUGAUCGGCCACACUGGGACUGAGAUACGGCCCAGACUCCUACGGGAGGCAGCAGCUAAGAAUCUUCCGCAAUGGACGAAAGUCUGACGGAGCGACGCCGCGUGGGUGAAGAAGGCCGGAAGGUUGUAAAGCCCUUUUCUCGUUGAGGAAUAAGCACAGGAGGGAAUGCCUGUGCGAUGACGGUAGGCGAGGAAUAAGUCCCGGCCAAUUACGUGCCAGCAGCCGCGGUAACACGUAUGGGACGAGCGUUGUUCGGAAUCAUUGGGCGUAAAGGGCGCGUAGGCGGCGAGGUAAGCCUGGUGUGAAAGACCGCAGCUUAACUGCGGAACCGCGCUAGGAACUGCUUUGCUUGAGUUCAGGAGGGGGAGCUGGAAUUCCAGGUGUAGGGGUGAAAUCUGUAGAUAUCUGGAAGAACACCGGCGGCGAAGGCGAGCUCCUGGCCAUGAACUGACGCUGAGGCGCGAAAGCGUGGGGAGCGAACAGGAUUAGAUACCCUGGUAGUCCACGCUGUAAACGAUGUGCACUAGGUGUUGGGCCACGAAGGUUCAGUGCCGGAGUCAACGCGUUAAGUGCACCGCCUGGGGAGUAUGCUCGCAAGGGUGAAACUCAAAGGAAUUGACGGGGGCCCGCACAAGCGGUGGAGCAUGUGGUUUAAUUCGAUGAUACGCGAGGAACCUUACCAGGGUUUGACAUAUGCCGGAAUGUGCAGGAGACUGCGCAGCCCUUCGGGGCCGGUAUACAGGUGCUGCAUGGCCGUCGUCAGCUCGUGCCGUGAGGUGUUGGGUUAAGUCCCGCAACGAGCGCAACCCCUACCGUCUGUUGCCAGCAUUCAGUUGGGGACUCAGGCGGAACUGCCGCCGACAAACCGGAGGAAGGUGGGGACGACGUCAGGUCAUCAUGGCCCUUAUAUCCUGGGCUACACACGUGCUACAAUGGCCGGUACAGAGCGAAGCAACACCGCGAGGUAGAGCAAAUCGCAGAAAGCCGGUCUCAGUUCGGAUUGGAGUCUGAAACCCGACUCCAUGAAGUUGGAAUCGCUAGUA
rnacentral:rRNA from 1 species